GAGUCAGCAGCUUUCCCAGGGCAGCUGGACAUAGGAAGGGGCCGGCUGGAGGGAGUUAGUUCAGUUUUGGUUUGGAGCUGGGUUGUUGGAAUUCAGGGACUCCCAAACUGGAAACUAAGUUUCCUGAACCCUAAGAAGGACUUGAUUGAGGGGUCCUGGUUGUGCCCAAAAGCUCUGCUGUAUCCUUCAUUCCUGUUGGCCAAAAAAAC